rnacentral:rRNA from 1 species
AUUGAACGCUGGCGGCAGGCCUAACACAUGCAAGUCGAGCGGAUGAAGGGAGCUUGCUCCUGGAUUCCGCGGCGGACGGGUGAGUAAUGCCUAGGAAUCUGCCUGGUAGUGGGGGAUAACGUCCGGAGACGGGCGCUAAUACCGCAUACGUCCUGCGGGAGAAAGUGGGGGAUCUUCGGACCUCACGCUAUCAGAUGAGCCUAGGUCGGAUUAGCUAGUUGGUGGGGUAAAGGCCUACCUAGGCGACGAUCCGUAACUGGUCUGAGAGGAUGGUCAGUCACACUGGAAGUGAGACAGGGUCCAGAGUCCUACGGGAGGGAGCAGAGGGGAACAGUGGACAAUGGGCGAGAGUCUGAUCCAGCCAGGGGGAGUGUGUGAAGAAGGUGCUCGGAGUGUAAAGAACUUUAAGGUGUGAGGAAGCGCAGUAAGCUAAUACGUAGCGGUUUUGACGUUAACAGCAGAAGAAGCACCGGCUAACUACGUG